rnacentral:lncRNA from 9 species
GUAAAAAAAAAAAAUGACUAAUACAUUUACAAAAAUUACUACAUAAUAAUUUUAAAGUAUUAAUAGUUCAGUAAACACUUAUUUUAUUUUAUUUUAUUUUACUAUUUUUGGCUGCCCCCUGGCAUAUGGAGUUCCUGGGCCAAGGAUCAGAUCCAAGCAGAAGUUUCUGCCUAAACUGCAGGGGCAGCAAUACCAGAUCCUUAACCCACUCUACUGGGCCAGGGAUCAAACCUGUGUCCCAGUGCUCCCAAGAUGCUGCUGAUCUCAUUUCACCACAGUGGGAACCCCAUACCAUGCUUAAUUUUUUUUCCUGACUUUUCAGCAGAACAAUUUGAACAGAUAGUAAAGUUGUUGCCCUUUUCAAGUAGAUUUAAUGAGCAGAGAAAAAGAUAAAUAUGUUUUAGAGGGAAAAAAAGACCAGGAUUUGUUUUGUUUUGUUUUAAGGAAUGAUAUCAACAUGCCAUUUAUUUUUUAUCUUUCUGAACUAAAACUACAGCUGAAAGUAUUCUAGGAUAAGCUUUAGCUUAACAUCAACUAGCUGUAUUCAGCGAUUCAGUCUAUUCCCAGAGGAGCUUCUAUGGGAGCUUCUAAUACAGCAGGAAAUUUUUUAAAUGUGUGCACCAAACCUUUCACAGUAAAGAGACUAUACAGAUGCUCUAUGAAUGUGUCAAAUAGUUCCAUCAUGUUCAGUGCCACAGUGGGAAUCUAUAUGCCCAGUGCCAUGGGAAGUGGGACCUGCAAGGUAUAUUCAUUCAGUCUUCUUUUAAUAAGUGGAAAGCCCUGGCUCUUUUGGUAAAAUCACUCCCAUCUUAAAUUCCUUCUUUUUUUUUUUUUCUUUUUUUUUGGCUUUUUAGGGGUCUAAUCAGAACUGUAGCUGCCAGCCUAAGCCACAGCCACAGCAACGGGGGAUCCAAGCUGUGUCUGCAACCUAUCCCACAGCAAUGCUGGAUCCUUAACCCACUGAGCAAGGCCAAGGAUCAAACCCACGUCCUCAUGGAUACUAGUCAGGUUCUUUAACCGCUGAACCAUGACAGGAACUCCUUUAAAUUUCUUCUUGAGUACCUUCAGGUAAUCUCUAAGAGCCUCCCUGACCUUGGCAGUAUGUGCAGUUUCCAUAAGAUCCUUCAGUGUAUACCCAUCUCCUUUAUUUUUAUUCAUGUUUGACUUAAUGUCUACUCAGUUUUUUGGAAGGAUUGAGUAUUUCAAUCAAUCAUUUGUGCUUUGCAGUCGAUUCUUUAAUUAAACCUUUCCAGCCCAGUUUGAUGUUCCACUUAUAGAGUAAAAUCUGCUUUCCUUUGCAGCUGCUGCAGAAAGCCUCACUAUUAACCUGCUUCAGCAGGCAGAUCUUGCAGCAGCCAGCCUCAUUCUCCAUAACAGUGCUCACCAGUAGUUUGUGGAACUUCCCCUUAGACCAGCUGGUAGCAUCUGCUCUGUCCAGUGUCAGUUCUUCAUGGUGAUCUGUCCUCCCCACUCCUCCAUGAUCCAGAAUAAGUUCCCCAGCCCCACUUGGCCAUGUCUGCACAGGUGCUACAGCUUCCUCCAUAUUUGACAUAUGAUAUAUCCUCCCUGAAGAAUGUUCCAUAUGCCCCUUCUAUUGCUUUUGGAUGGAAUGUUUUGUAUAUGUCUGUUAUGUUCAUCUGGUUUAAUGUGUAGUUUAAGGCCAAUGUUUCCUUAUUGACUUUUUUUUUGUCUGUAUAAUCUAUUAAUUUUUCAAAAUAGGGUAUCAAAAUCCUCUGUUAUUGCACUGCUGACUGUUUCUUCAGGUCUGUUAAUAUUUGCUUUGUAUGUUUAGAAGAUCUAAGUUGGGUUCAUAAGUAUUUACAAAUGUUAUAUCCUUUUGUUGGAUUGACCUAUUUAUUAUUAUAUAAUGCCAUCCUUUGUCCCUUGUUGCAGUCUUUGCCUUAAACUCUAUUGUAUCUAAGUAUAGCUACCACUGCCCUCUUUUUGGGUUCCAUUUGCAUGGAAUAUCUUUUUCCAUUCCUUCACUUUCAGUCUGUGUGUGUCCUUAAAGCUGAGCUCUGUUGUAGUAGUUGGCAUACAGUUGAAUGUUGAAACUUUUUUAAUCUAUUCAUCCACUGUAUGCCUUUUUUUUUUUUUUUUUUUUUUUUUUUUUUUGAGUGCUGCACACAUGGCAUAUGGAAGUUCCCAGGUUAGGGUCUAAUCAGAGCUGCACUGCCAGCCUUCACAACAGCCAGAGAAAUGCCAGAUCCUUAACCCACUUAGCAGGGGCCAGGGAUUGAACCCAUGUACUGAUGGAUGCUAGUCAGGUUCGUUACCACUGAGCCACAAUGGGAACUCUCACUUUAUGCCUUUUUAUUGGAGAACUUAGUCCAUUUACAUUUAAAGUAAUUAUUGAUAGGUAUGGACUUACUAUUACCAUUUUAUGUGUUGUUUGUGACUGUUCUGUAAUUCCUUUGUCUCUUUCUUCCUCUAUUGUUCUUCUUUUAUGAUAUGAUGACUUUCUUCAGUGAUAUGCUUGAAUUCCCUUCUAUCUUUUGUGUAUUUAUUUAAGUUUUUGCUUUGUGGUUACCAUGAGGUUUGCAUAAGAUAUCUCAUAUUUAAACAGUCUAUUUUAAGUUGAUAACAACUUAACUUUGAGUGCACAAUAAAGCUUUACAUUUUUGCUAUCCCAUGCAUGAACACAUGCAUUUGAUGUUUUCAGUGUUAAAAUUUACAUCUUUUUAUCUUGUGUAUCCAUUAACAAAUUAUUGUAGUUGUAGUUAUUUUUAAGACUUCCGUAUUUUAACUUUCAUAUGCAGUGGUGAUCAAUUUAUU